AUUAUGAUCUGAAUGUCAGCCUCAGUCACGUCUGGUAAACUAUAGUUCAUGGACGAACAGAGGGUCAUCUGGCAACUAGCUGUAUCCAUGAAACAGGAAUAUUAAAAAUGGAGCAUUGUACACCUAUCAGUAUUACAGCUAUUGCAUUGCUUCUUGUUUUAUACUUUUUAUGGCAGUCGSAGGGUAUCUUUGCUAUUGAAACCAGUUACUGCUCCUGUUAUUCGUUU